UACGGCAUUUAACUUCCCGGAAAGGGACAUUACUGUGAAGACCGUUGCAACAAGCUAUAAAGAACAUGAACUCUCGUUAACCCGAGUUAUGUAAGAAAUCCAAGAAAAUGUGGUUAAUUUUACUCUCUUGGCGAGAUUUCUAGCUGCAUAGGCAUGCGAAGUAAAGGAAACUAUUAUACAUGUUAACAAAAACCCGGUCUACUAGCUAUAAACUGAUGCUGUUCAAGAGAGUAAUAAUUGAGCGCCUAGCACUGUCGGGCACAGAAAAAAAAGAAAAGAUAGAAAACUGCAACUUCAGUGAGAAAAGAAAACAAUCAGACAGAACUUGGAUAUGUAAUUAGUUAAAAUACAGACAGUAAUUCAUUUUAAUAGAAUUUAAUCAGUGACUGAAAAAAAGAUAAAUAGAUUUAUAAAUGGCUGAAAUAAAUAUUUGACAUGUUGUAGUGAUGAAAUAUUCGGUUAUAUUUCUUCAGGAAACUUGCAAACAAAUGUUAGAUUUCCUUUUGUUAAAUGUUAAACAAAAUCACAAUUAUUUGAAAAUAAAAUGUGUACUAAAUAAUUUUAGUUUUAGUCUA